AGAGUACCUUUUUUUUUUUUUUUUUUAAGUGCUCACUUGAAUGAUCAUGUUUUGUUUUCACUCCCACACUCUCACAAUGCCCAAGAAGGGCAAAUAGUAAAAUGAUGCUGUUAUUUGAUAAAUUAAUUACUGAUGAUAGACUCGUUUUGAAUUCAAAGUGUUAGGAAUUUAAUGGAGUUUCUCCUUAGUGGCUUACAGAUCUCCCAUACCCUUCUACUAUCUAGUAAGUAUCAUGUCCUCUGAACGGUGUUCAUGCCCUGAGCAACAUUCAUGCUCUCAGAGAAACACCUCCUCCUCCGCAAAGAGCUGAAGGAGGUUGGUGGGACACAGAUACCACCUGAAUUAUCCGUAAAUACAAGCCAUUUUUAAGUGGAAGACAGUUCUACUGCAACAAGCUGAAGAAAGCCAGCACCAUCUAGUGGAAGGAGAGUCACACAGGAAUGGACGCCUGUUGGUUUGGUUUCCUGUUCUGUAUUUUGAACUCUUUGCUGAGACUUAGGUGUGCAUUGUUAAUAUUGGUCUCUUUUCAUAAUAGACUUAACCGAACGGUCUCUGACCAA
rnacentral:lncRNA from 1 species